UACGUAGGGUGCAAGCGUUGUCCGGAAUCAUUGGGCGUAAAGAGCGUGUAGGCGGUCCGGUAAGUCAGCUGUGAAAGUCAAGGGCUCAACCCUUGAAUGCCGGUUGAUACUGUCGGGCUAGAGUCCGGAAGAGGCGAGUGGAAUUCCCGGUGUAGCGGUGAAAUGCGCAGAUAUCGGGAGGAACACCAAUGGCGAAGGCAGCUCGCUGGGACGGUACUGACGCUGAGACGCGAAAGCGUGGGGAGCAAACAGG
rnacentral:rRNA from 1 species